rnacentral:rRNA from 1 species
ACGGAGGAUGCGAGCGUUAUCCGGAAUCAUUGGGUUUAAAGGGUGCGUAGGCGGACUAUUAAGUCAGUGGUGAAAUCCUCCAGCUUAACUUCAGAACUGCCAUUGAUACUGGUAGCCUUGAGUUUGGUAAAGGUAGGUAGAAUUCGUAAUGUAGCGGUGAAAUGCUUAGAGAUUUGGAAGAACACCGGUGGCGUAGGCAGCUUACUGGGCCAACACUGACGCUGAGGCGCGAAAGCGUGGGGAGCAAACAG